rnacentral:rRNA from 1 species
UACGAAGGGGGCUAGCGUUGCUCGGAAUUACUGGGCGUAAAGCGCACGUAGGCGGCUUGAUAAGCGUGCGGUGAAAGCCCGGGGCUCAACCCCGGGUCGGCCGUGCGAACUGUCGAGCUGGAGCACUGUAGAGGCAGGUGGAAUUCCGGGUGUAGCGGUGGAAUGCGCAGAUAUCAGGAGGAACACCGGUGGCGAAGGCGGGUCACUGGGCCGCAACUGACGCUGAGGAGCGAAAGCAUGGGGAGCGAACAGG